rnacentral:rRNA from 1 species
GAAAGUGGGGGGGGCGGUGGCCUAUACAUGCAAGUCGAACGCUUUGUGGUUCAACUGAUUUGAAGAGCUUGCUCAGAUAUGACGAUGGACAUUGCAAAGAGUGGCGAACGGGUGAGUAACACGUGGGAAACCUACCUCUUAGCAGGGGAUAACAUUUGGAAACAGAUGCUAAUACCGUAUAACAAUGACAACCGCAUGGUUGUUAUUUAAAAGAUGGUUCUGCUAUCACUAAGAGAUGGUCCCGCGGUGCAUUAGCUAGUUGGUAAGGUAAUGGCUUACCAAGGCGAUGAUGCAUAGCCGAGUUGAGAGACUGAUCGGCCACAAUGGGACUGAGACACGGCCCAUACUCCUACGGGAGGCAGCAGUAGGGAAUCUUCCACAAUGGGCGAAAGCCUGAUGGAGCAACGCCGCGUGUGUGAUGAAGGGUUUCGGCUCGUAAAACACUGUUGUAAGAGAAGAAUGACAUUGAGAGUAACUGUUCAAUGUGUGACGGUAUCUUACCAGAAAGGAACGGCUAAAUACGUGCCAGCAGCCGCGGUAAUACGUAUGUUCCAAGCGUUAUCCGGAUUUAUUGGGCGUAAAGCGAGCGCAGACGGUUAUUUAAGUCUGAAGUGAAAGCCCUCAGCUCAACUGAGGAAUUGCUUUGGAAACUGGAUGACUUGAGUGCAGUAGAGGAAAGUGGAACUCCAUGUGUAGCGGUGAAAUGCGUAGAUAUAUGGAAGAACACCAGUGGCGAAGGCGGCUUUCUGGACUGUAACUGACGUUGAGGCUCGAAAGUGUGGGUAGCAAACAGGAUUAGAUACCCUGGUAGUCCACACCGUAAACGAUGAGUGCUAGGUGUUUGAGGGUUUCCGCCCUUAAGUGCCGCAGCUAACGCAUUAAGCACUCCGCCUGGGGAGUACGACCGCAAGGUUGAAACUCAAAGGAAUUGACGGGGACCCGCACAAGCGGUGGAGCAUGUGGUUUAAUUCGAAGCAACGCGAAGAACCUUACCAGGUCUUGACAUCCCUUGACAACUCCAGAGAUGGAGCGUUCCCUUCGGGGACAAGGUGACAGGUGGUGCAUGGUUGUCGUCAGCUCGUGUCGUGAGAUGUUGGGUUAAGUCCCGCAACGAGCGCAACCCUUAUUACUAGUUGCCAGCAUUCAGUUGGGCACUCUAGUGAGACUGCCGGUGACAAACCGGAGGAAGGUGGGGAUGACGUCAAAUCAUCAUGCCCCUUAUGACCUGGGCUACACACGUGCUACAAUGGCGUAUACAACGAGUUGCCAACCCGCGAGGGUGAGCUAAUCUCUUAAAGUACGUCUCAGUUCGGAUUGUAGGCUGCAACUCGCCUACAUGAAGUCGGAAUCGCUAGUAAUCGCGGAUCAGCACGCCGCGGUGAAUACGUUCCCGGGUCUUGUACACACCGCCCGUCACACCAUGAGAGUUUGUAACACCCAAAGCCGGUGGGGUAACCUUCGGGAGCCAGCCGUCUAAGGUGAACCGAAAAG